UCUUCCUUGGUCUAGUGGUCAUGAUUUCCGCUUGUCAUUCACUCCAGAGUGAGAAGCGCGGGAGACCGGGGUUCGAUUCCCCGAGGGAGAG